AGAAGGCUCAUCAGCUCCAGGCAGUGUCAGCAGAGCCUGUCUCCUCACCGCACUCCUGUCAGACGUGGAGACCCUGGGCUCGAGUUCAGCCUUGCAUCUGUUCUGCCAUCACUAGUGACAGAGCACAGUGGGCUGCCUGUACUGCUCCAUUCGAGAGCACCUGAAGUGCUGUGGACUCUGGUUUACUCUUCGAGAGACUUUUCUAUCUUGCUGUAUCUGUAGGACCCAACUAGACCAAAUUGAUGACCUCACUGUAUCCUCCAAGGCUUCAGACCUGAGCUCUGCAUCCAGGCACCCGGACAUCUCUCCCUGGAACCUCAGAAUGAGUGCACUGUUCCCCCAAAGUUGCUCCUGCUCUUGAUAUUCUGUCAGAUAGCUCCAGCGUGUCUGUAGUGGAAAGAGUUCAAACCUGGAAGCGGGUGUGCUGCCUCCUGGUGACCUCGAGCAAGUUUCUGAACUUCUCUGAGCCUCCUUUUCCUCAUCUGUAAAAAGGGGAAACAGUAUCUCUCUCUCAGGUGAGACAUAAGAUAAAGGUCAU